rnacentral:rRNA from 1 species
AACGAACGCUGGCGGCGCGUCUUAAGCAUGCAAGUCGAACGGCAAGAGAGGAGCUUGCUUCUCUCCUAGAGUGGCGGACUGGUGAGGAACACGUGGGUAAUCUACCCUUAAGAUGGGGAUAGCUGCUAGAAAUAGCAGGUAAUACCGAAUACACUCGGCAUAUCACAAGAGGUGUUGAGAAAAGGAAGCUACGGCUUCGCUUGAGGAUGAGCUUGCGUCCCAUUAGCUAGUUGGUGAGGUAAAGGCCCACCAAGGCGACGAUGGGUAUCCGGCCUGAGAGGGUGAACGGACACAUUGGGACUGAGAUACGGCCCAAACUCCUACGGGAGGCAGCAGCUAAGAAUAUUCCGCAAUGGACGGAAGUCUGACGGAGCGACGCCGCGUGGAUGAAGAAGGCUGAAAAGUUGUAAAAUCCUUUUGUUGAUGAAGAAUAAGGGUGAGAGGGAAUGCUCAUCUGAUGACGGUAAUCGACGAAUAAGCCCCGGCUAAUUACGUG